UUGAUUUAUACUCUGUGUCCACUGUCUUGUUUUUUCUCCCCCUUGUGGAAAUGGUGUGGGCAAAUAACUAGCUUUAAAUAGAUUGUUUGUGUCUUUAUAAAGAGAAUAAAAUGGACUAUAUCUUUCAGAUGCUUCUGCUGAAUACCAGCCCUGAAGCCUGUCUGCUUCAGUUGCCUUCCAGCCAUGCGGGUCUCAUAGCUUGGCUUUCCAUACCACAUGCAGCCGUUCCCUGGACUGCUGCACUCUGCUCAUGUUUUAGACAGUCAAACUAGUUACUAUUCUGCAUUCUUCUCCACUAAUCAGAGUCCUCUGAGCAGUUACCCCCUGGCAGGAGUCUGUGUCUGUGUUAAAAUUGUAUAGUCCUUCCUUUUUGUGCCCUACAACCAUUCCAAGAGACAAUCCUCCCAUUUUCCUGAGUUGUGCCCUUUCUUUAUUAUUGCAGUCUAACAUGUCUCAUUCUCUCCAGAGAUCUUAUUUACAAACAACUGCAGUGACAAAUAAGCAGGAUACCUAAAGGCAAUGCAGGCUUCCCUCCACAUGAUGUUAAUGUUACUUAAGUCUUAGAUGUGAACGACCCAAAAAGAUGCCGCGGGUUCUGUUUGUGUCUGUCCCUGCUGGGGUUGCCAAAGAAGCUGAUGUACAGAAGCAACCAAACUUUAAGAAAAUACUGUCUGAAUGGGUUCACUCACAUCACAAUGAUGUUUUAAAGAGAAGUUUACCUGUAGCCAAUAUACUGCUGAGCUUAGAGGUGAAAUGCCUUUCUUAGCUUUAGGACCUCAAAUAUUGCAUUAAAAUUAGGGGAUGAGGGGAUGGAGUUGGUUUAUUUUACUCCUCAGCUCCUCAUAUACUUUAAUAUCUAUCAUUGCAAGUGCCUUCUUUUUUCCUUUGUGAUCCAGGCUGAUAAUGGUGACUAGAGAACUGUACCAAUAUAAACAGGCUAUCAGAUUUUGUAUGUUCCUUUAAUACUGAGAAACAUCCGAAUGACCAUACUAGAAGUAGUUCUGGAUUAGUUCUUAGUUUGAAACAAUGUCAUAUUUAAAGUUACUUUGAUAUGUAAGAACUAUAAUUAGCUUUAGAAAUGAGAUUAACUACAGGAUCAAAACUGUUCAUCCCAAUGUAGAUGCUAAAAGUACUUUUGGUCUAAUAAAUGUAAAACAGGUACUCGAAAUUCAUUGCUUUUAAGGUGCAUACUUAACGUUCUUUUUUUGUUUAGUGCUUUGAUACUGUGAAAUGGAGAGCGCUCUAAUUGAGAAGCAUUAUGAAUCAAUUAGUAGGUUUUUUAACGACUGUGACAAAAGUCUCAGACAGUAUGUGCAAGUCUUUUCCAGAGAUGGACGUAGUCCAGAGUUGUUGUUCCCUGAGACAAGUGGUUUGUUUUCAUAACAAGUAGUGGCAUUUAUCAAAGCCUAUUUACUUGCCCAGCUGUAAAAAACCAUGACAGUCUGCACAGCAUUGCAUUACAGUACAGCAGUCCAGUUACAAGGAAUACUUCAGUAAGUGCAUGAACAGCUAUGACAAGUGGCUUAUUUGCUAAAUGCAAUGCACUGUAAGCAGUUACAAACCAAACAGCCGCGUUGCAGUGUUGAUCUCUAUUAGUUUUACAGAUCCUAUUUUCUUCUUCAAGUGCUCAUACGCUUGUUAGACUGUCCCUGUGCUGGUUACCAGCCUUUUACUGGAUUAAACAAUUUGACAUCAUGGAAUAUGAAAUCGUGGGAGAUUUAGAAAUUCUAGUCCUUUUAUAACAGUUUUUAUUUGAAGUGGAAGGACUUGAUAUUGGAUAGACGUUUUCCACUGGAAUUAGUUCUCUGAAACUGGAUUUCAGCCUUCUGCUAUGAGCUCAGAAUGUCUGUCUUCUAAUACUCUAAGGAACAUUCAGACCAUGUAGUCACUAGGGCCAAAAAUACAGCAUGUGAAGUGAUAAGGCAGAAAGAAUGACAUGCAGUCAGUCUUUGUAUUAGUAGCAUGGUUUCACAGUCUCCUGAGUAAUAUCUCCCAGUAAUACCUGAUUGGACUAGUGUAGUGUUGCAGUCUAACAAUUAGACUUACUAAUUAAAUUUAAAUAGUUAUUGUUAUUUUUACUGGGAAAGAAGUAAUUUUCAGUGUCAGUAACUGUGUUGGAUUACAACCAAUUAACUAAAGGUACUUUGUUUUACAGGACUUUUUUUUGGCCAAUUUUCAGUGGAGAACUCCAUGCAGAAAUGGUGUUACAUGACCUAUUCCACCCAACUUAUUAAGAGUAGGGAAGAAGGCCAUAAUAGUAGGCUUUGUUGUAGGGCAUUACAGCAUAUUUCUGCUUUGAACAGCCAGAGCACACGGCGUAGCCUGCCAAGAGGCCACUAUAACAUCUAAGCAUACAAUUAACUGUAAGUGUGUGAGUAAUCUCAUCCUUUUUCAGUGAAGCAUUUAAGCAUGUGUUUAUGGUUAAUGAUUAGGUCCAGAUGAAAGCAGCAAGAUGAUCUAUGAUUAAAGUUAAACAUAUGUUUAUGUGCUUUCUUGAAGAGGAGUGAAAUUAUUCAAAUGCUGUAGCACUGUGGGUCACCUCACAGUACUCUAUUUUUCAGCUUUAACCAUCAGAUUCUCCAGUGGGGUAAUGUCAAUUUUUUUAUGCAUAUGAGAGGUUAAACACAUUAAUCUCUGUUUUCUUGUCUAGUUGUUUUGGUAUGAAUUUUAGUAGAACUAUAUGCACUGCUCCCCUAGAACAGUGAUCUGAAGUGCUGACAAGGAGAAAUUUCGCAGGCUGAAGUCCAGAUCUUAAACUCACAUUCUGAGUCUGUAAUUGUGUAAUAGCUAUUAUUAUUCUUUCUUAAGUUUCUAAAUUUUGUACUUUGUUUCCUUCUUUUACAAAACUUAAUCAGAAAUGGUUAAAAAAAACUAUGUUAUAAACUUCAGUUACUUGUUUAUUUUUCCUCAGAUGCCCCAAACAGAUCACACUUUGUUAUUGCCAGCUUCUUGAAUUGACUAGAAAGAUAACGGAGACAACAGAUUUAGACAUAGACACUUGCAUUUUGAAGCUUGAAAAUUAUACUACACAGAUCCUACUGUGACAGACGUUUGUUAAGGCCAUCUUCACCAGCAAUCUCUCCUUUUCUCCACAAUAUUUGCAUAAAGAAGCUAUAUCGUAUAUCACUGUUACAACUAUAUCUUUUCUUAUUACGUUCAUUUGUUGUAGCUUUCUACUGCUUCUGAAGCAAGCUAUUGGCAUCAUUAAACUUUCGGUCUCACCUGCUACAUUUCUGAGUUAUAAAACAGACAAAACAAAUGACAUGAAAUUGUAGAAAAAAAACAGGGAACUUUCCAUAUCUUCAAUCUCCUUGCAUACUAAUUAGACAAAAUAAGCACAAAAUGAAGUUCUGCUUUGUUCCCCUAUGCUUGAGCUGGAGGGACAUGUGUUGUCAUGUUUCUGGGCCAGGUAACAAUUCCUGAUUGACACUCAUUCUUUACUUUUAUGUAUAAUGUUAUGUAGAAUAUGGCUCUGAAUCACAUUCUGUAUACUAAAUGUGGAAGUCAAUCAUAUUGUGAAGGUACUUUCCUAAUGAAUAAUGUAGAGCAAGAUGGUGUGUAAGUGAUUGGUGUUGGAUGUGGUCCCAUAGAAUAGGUCAAAGUAGUUUUAAACUCUUUGUUAUCUUCUCCUAACAGUAAUUGCUCUCUGAUUUCUUAACAGUUCUGGGAUCUCUUGAUCUUGUGGCAUUCUUUCCUCGGUCUGGCAGAAGGCACACAAAUGGCUGUGCCACAUUCCCAUUGCUAGCACCCUAACUUAUAUAUAGGAGAACCUGUGAGGAAUUUCCCGUGUCUUUGAGCUAUUUGAUGGCUUUCAUGGCAUAAUAUAGAUCGUUCUGUUGCUUGGAAAGGCUUUUCUGGUAGUGGUCAGCUCCUUCUAAAUGGUGCGUUCACUUUUGGCACUCUGUUUCUGGAACGUUUGCUUUGGUAGGCCAGAAGUCAGCAAGCCGUUAAUGUGAUCAAACAGACUCCACCCACCAAUUACUAAAAUAAUGCAUGCAUUAGAUGGAAUCUUCAAAAUGUUCAAUUCAAGACAUUUUAAAAUAACCUUAUACUUCAAAGUCAAGUAUGUCACCAGCUUGUUAAGAGUCAUUUUUUCAUUUCUUUGAAUUUUUCAGUGAAAUGUGUGACGUUAGACCUAAUCUUGGAAAAUUCUCUACGUUUUAUUAAGUAUGUUGUCCUUUCUGUAGCAUUCAUAGCAAAGAGCGUUGCAAUCAAUGAAAAGAAAAAAUAGAACAGUGUAAAAUGCAUAAGAGUAUAUUUUUCUUACUCUUGGCAUACAUUUAGUGUGGUCUGCAGAGUACAAGAGGAACUAAAGAGAGGUAUAGACUGCAAACUAUAGGGAUUUCUGAAAUCAGUUUGAGUUUAUCCAAAGGCUGAAUCAUAAUUGCAACUCCACAAGGGAAUGGUACUGUAGAUUUUUCCUUUUUCACUGAUCUCUGCAUAUAAAUUCGUGAAGAGGCAAAAGCAACAAAGCCACCUCUUUGUUGAUACAAAAUGCAAAACAGAUCUUUGAAAGUUUUUUGUUGUUUGCUUUUGGUUUUCCAUAACUGAACUAGAGAAGAGGGACUAGGGCUGCCUAAUUAUGCAGUGGGACUACCCCCUGGUUGAGGCUGAAUACUUAUAGCCCCUUUCAUUUCACUUGUUCUGAGCUCAUACUAGCCCUUCCCCAGUUCUAAACCAGCUGUAAUCUAACCUGCUUGAGAGGCCGUCUUCUGUCUUUGUCGUAGUCAGGAGAGAAGUGGGAGUUCAGGGAAGCAGGGGGUGGACAUUUCAAGUGUAUCUGACCAUACAAGAAUUAAAAUAAGUGGACAGAGCGCUAAAUUUAGUCUGUGAAUGGAAGAAGUUCUGCAGUAGAGAAUCCUAUCACCAGGGCUUCAUCUGCUUGCAGUUAUUUCAGCUCAUCCUCCCCACUACACACCAGAGUGUAUCUGCGGUCUUUGAAAACUAGGAUCGGCAUAAAAUCAUCAUAGAAUCACCAAGGUUGGAAAAGACCUCCAAGAUCAUCCAGUCCAACCGUCCAUCAGUCACCAGCAUUGCCUGGAUGAAAGCGGAAAUUACUAUGUAAGAAGUAUCGUGAACUGUGUUGCAAUUCCUUCAACAAUUUCCAAUAGCUUUAACUUGCGUGGACAAAGGAUUGCCACUUCUAGAACGUUCCUUCCAACUUCUAUCCAGAGAUGUGGAGAUGUGUCACUGCUGUCACCUUGUGAAGUCAGAAGCGUUUGGAGCAGCUUUUGUGGCUAUGGAUAAAGCUGUUUGCUUCCCGCUGUUUGCAUUUUUUUAAGGUACAACAUAGCUUUGUCCCAAGGCAUAAAGAAGGAGCCUCAUCCUGAGCACCAGAUACUGGACAAGAUAGUCCUGUUUUGUUUUAUUUUUAUACUAAUUCCAUUGCUGAAACAGACUGCACUUCUGUUCUCGCUGAAACUGUUACCUCCCUGAGAGUUAUACCUUCGUGCAGCAAAAGAGGCCCGUGAGCACCACUGGCACUGAAAAUUACAGAAAUGGAAACGAAGGCAGAAAAUACACAAAGAGCUUAAAUGACUGCAUGGAGUAGGGCUAGAGGAAGGUUAAAGUAAAAAAGAACAAAUUCGACUGACUGAUUCUUUAACAACUUCAUUAAAGAAGGCAAGCUCCAAAAUUAACAUAGAAGCUUUCUUCACAGAGAAACCAAAGAAACAAACCAUGCUGCCUCGAUGAGAAUCUUGAAACAGAUUUGAGUAAGUGGCUCCUCAAAAUAACAGAUGCAGAAAAUGCACCAUGUGAGAAAUGAACUGAAGUAAUCUUAGAAAUCCUUAGGAUAAAUAAAGAAUGUCUAGAAGAUGAUGAAAAGGAAUUUAAAAAUCAAAACCAUGCAAAACCAGUUGCAAAGCAGAGAUGCCAUCUGAGUGUGGAGGAGGCCAUAAUCUCAGCAUCCAUGCCUGGGAGGAGGAAAGGGUAGCUCCUGG